CGGCCGCAUCACGUUAAAACACCGGUUCCCGUACGAUGACCGAAGUUAAGCAACGUCGAGUCUGGCCAGUACCUUGAUGGCUGACAACUUGGGAAUACCAUGUGCUGUAAG